rnacentral:rRNA from 1 species
AUUGAACGCUGGCGGCAGGCCUAACACAUGCAAGUCGAGCGGAGCGGCGGACGGGUGAGUAAUGCCUAGGACUCUGCCUGGUCGUGGGGGAUAACGUCCGGAAACGGGCGCUAAUACCACAUACUAUCAGAUGAGCCUAGGGCGGAUUAGCUAGUUGGUGGGGUAAAGGCCUACCAAGGCGACGAUCCGUAACUGGUCUGAGAGGAUGAUCAGUCACACUGGAAAUGAGACACGGUCCAGACUCCUACGGUAGGCAGCAGUGGGGAAUAUUUGACAAUGGGCGAAAGCCUGAUCCAGCCAUGCCGCGUGUGUGAAGAAGGUCUUCGGAUUGUAAAGCACUUUAAGUUGGGAGGCGUUACCAACAGAAUAAGCACCGGCUAACUGCGUGCCAGCAGCCGCGGUAAUAC